rnacentral:rRNA from 1 species
GUAUAAGCAAUUUAUACAGUGAAACUGCGAAUGGCUCAUUAAAUCAGUUAUCGUUUAUUUGAUAGUUUCUUUACUACAUGGAAUACCUGUGGUAAUUCUAGAGCUAAUACAUGCUUAAAAUCCCAACUCACGAAGGGAUGUAUUUAUUAGAUAAAAAAUCAAUGUCUUCGGACUUCUGAUGAUUCAUAAUAACUUUUCGAAUCGCAUGGCUUUAUGCUGGCGAUGGUUCAUUCAAAUUUCUGCCCUAUCAACUUUUGAUGGUAGGAUAGUGGCCUACCAUGGUUUCAACGGGUAACGGGGAAUAAGGGUUCGAUUCCGGAGAGGGAGCCUGAGAAACGGCUACCACAUCCAAGGAAGGCAGCAGGCGCGCAAAUUACCCAAUCCUAAUUCAGGGAGGUAGUGACAAUAAAUAACGAUACAGGGCUUUAUGUCUUGUAAUUGGAAUGAGUACAAUUUAAAUACCUUAACGAGGAACAAUUGGAGGGCAAGUCUGGUGCCAGCAGCCGCGGUAAUUCCAGCUCCAAUAGCGUAUAUUAAAGUUGUUGCAGUUAAAAAGCUCGUAGUUGAACUUUGGGCUUGGAGAAUCGGUCCAACUUUGUUGUGUACUGUCUUCUCCAGGUCUUUCCUUCUGGUUCUCAUUUGGGGUUUUCCUCAUUUGUUGAUCCAGGAUUUUUACUUUGAAAAAAUUAGAGUGUUCAAAGCAGGCGUUUUGCUCGAAUAUAUUAGCAUGGAAUAAUAGAAUAGGACGAUUGGUUCUAUUUUGUUGGUUUCUAGGACCAUCGUAAUGAUUAAUAGGGACGGUCGGGGGCAUCAGUAUUCAGUUGUCAGAGGUGAAAUUCUUGGAUUUACUGAAGACUAACUACUGCGAAAGCAUUUGUCAAGGACGUUUUU